CAUGCAUGUCUCUGAUUACUAGUAGCAUAUCCCGAAUCUGCGAACGGCUCCGUAUAUCUGUUGUAACCCACCGCCUCCCAGGCACCGAGGCAUAACCACGGUAAUUCUGUGGCUAAUACGUGUAACCACGGGCUGCUCCCCCCUAGCGGGCGGGCAGUUCGGGCUUGUCGGGCUGACCAACGGGGGGCAACCCCUGGCGUGAUGGCUGGCAAGCGCACCUCACCGCGGCUUGUUCUGUGGUGUGCGCGACGGGCUUCAGACCUAUCAACUAGAUGGCCAGGGAUAGCCUGGCCAUGGUCGCAACGGGUACAGAGGAUCAGGGUUCGGUCCUGGAGAGGUAGCCUGAGAGAUCGCUACUACUUCUAAGGAAGGCAGCAGGCGCGCAACGUUCCCAAUGGGGAUACCCUGAGGACGUGAAGGGACAUACCAAUGCCCAGCCCUUAAAGCUGGGCAAUUGGAAUGGGGGACCUCUAAACCCCACACCGAGUAACAAUUGGAG
rnacentral:rRNA from 1 species